rnacentral:rRNA from 1 species
CCCUUAGAUGUUCUGGGCCGCACGCGCGCUACACUGAUGCAUUCAACGAGCCUAUCCUUGACCGACAGGUCCGGGUAAUCUUUGAAUCUGCAUCGUGACGGGGAUAGAUUAUUGCAAUUAUUAAUCUUCAACGAGGAAUGCCUAGUAGGCGCAAGUCAUCAGCUUGCGUCGAUUACGUCCCUGCCCUUUGUACACACCGCCCGUCGCUACUACUGAUUGGGUGUUCAAGUGAGAUGCUUAGACCCUUGUUGCAUGGUUCAUUAUUGUGCUCCGAAAGGAAAAAGUUUCAAGCUUGAGUGUCUAGAGGAAGUAAAAGUCGUAACA